GGGCACAUGGUGUAGUUGGUUAUCACAUCCGCUUAGCAUUGCGUUCAAAUAUCGGCGCUCUGCAAUUGCGGGGGGUGCUGGGUUCAAUUCCCAGUGUGUCCA
rfam:Lentinula edodes NBRC 111202 DNA, contig: scaffold61.